GGGUUGUGAGGUUAAGCGACUAAGCGUACACGGUGGAUGCCCUGGCAGUCAGAGGCGAUGAAGGACGUGCUAAUCUGCGAUAAGCGUCGGUAAGGUGAUAUGAACCGUUAUAACCGGCGAUUUCCGAAUGGGGAAACCCAGUGUGAUUCGUCACACUAUCGUUAACUGAAUACAUAGGUUAACGAAGCGAACCGGGGGAACUGAAACAUCUAAGUACCCCGAGGAAAAGAAAUCAACCGAGAUUCCCCCAGUAGCGGCGAGCGAACGGGGAGGAGCCCAGAGCCUGA
rnacentral:rRNA from 1 species